CUCCUUUGCCUGUCAGAGCAAUAAAGCUUUUUUUUUCCCCUCCUUUGUCCAAAACCCUGUCUCUGCAUUUCUCUUCAUCACUAGUGGACGGAAGCUGAAUUUUGGCAAUACUACGGCAUGUGGAAGUUCCCAGGCUAGGGAUUGACUCCAAGCUGUAGCUGUGACCUCUGUCAAAUACCUUAACCCACUGCACAGGGCCAGGCUGGGGAUUGAACCCAGGCCUCUGCAGGUACCAGAGUCACUGCAGUUGGAUUCUUAACCCACUGAGCCAGAGAAGGAACUCCUCUGCUGAUAUCUUUGUGAAGAAGAGAGAAAGAGAUGAAAUGAAUACUUGUGAACUCAGAAACGCUGACUUUGGGACCUGGGUUGACGAGCGACCUCGUCAAGGAGGGUCCAGUAGGAGGGAGAAGACAACCAAUCUCCUAGGAUCCUUGGUGCUGGAAUCCAUCUUGUCUGAGAGGUACAUGCACCACCAAGAGCAAGGAUGGGCUGAGUAAGAUGACUGGCCAGAGAUAACCCAGAAACUAAUCCCAUUCCCAUGAAACCAGAGAUUGAAAGCCCUAUGGCAGAGCAGUUCUCCUAAGUUCCCUUACCCUGUUCCUCUCCCCCUGGUACCUCUUCCCAAUAAAGUCUCUUGUUUUGUCAGCA